rnacentral:rRNA from 1 species
AUUGAACGCUGGCGGCAGGCCUAACACAUGCAAGUCGAACGAGUGGCGGACGGGUGAGUAAUGUCUGGGAAACUGCCCGAUGGAGGGGGAUAACUACUGGCAACGGUAGCUAAUACCGCAUACCAUCGGAUGUGCCCAGAUGGGAUUAGCUAGUAGGUGGGGUAAAGGCUCACCUAGGAGACGAUCCCUAGCUGGUCUGAGAGGAUGACCAGCCACACUGGAAAUGAGACACGGUCCAGACUCCGACGUGAGUCAGCAGUGGGGAAUAUUGCACAAUGGGGGCAAGCCUGAUGCAUCCAUGCCGCGUGUAUGAAGAAGGCCGUCGGGUUGUAAAGUACUUUCAGCGAGGAGGCGUUGCUCGCAGAAGAAGCACCGGCUAACUCCGGGCCAGCAGCCGCGGUAAUAC